CCCCCUGGGAAGUCCUCGUGUUGCAACCC
rnacentral:rRNA from 1 species